AUCAUUUAGUGGUGUUUUGGCUAAGAUCAAGUGUAGUACAUUUUCUUAAAGUUGACACAUUAUUUAUUCCAGGACAAUAUAUUAAAUGUAAGUUGGGGGCAGAAAAUUGGAAUAGGAGCUUGCUCUGCCCACUCCAUACAUAGACCUGGUAUUGUGGUACCUCCAGGAACAGUGCACCUCUC